GAUGAACGCUGGCGGCGUGCCUAAUACAUGCAAGUCGAGCGAACGGACGAGAAGCUUGCUUCUCUGAUGUUAGCGGCGGACGGGUGAGUAACACGUGGAUAACCUACCUAUAAGACUGGGAUAACUUCGGGAAACCGGAGCUAAUACCGGAUAAUAUUUUGAACCGCAUGGUUCAAAAGUGAAAGACGGUCUUGCUGUCACUUAUAGAUGGAUCCGCGCUGCAUUAGCUAGUUGGUAAGGUAACGGCUUACCAAGGCAACGAUGCAUAGCCGACCUGAGAGGGUGAUCGGCCACACUGGAACUGAGACACGGUCCAGACUCCUACGGGAGGCAGCAGUAGGGAAUCUUCCGCAAUGGGCGAAAGCCUGACGGAGCAACGCCGCGUGAGUGAUGAAGGUCUUAGGAUCGUAAAACUCUGUUAUUAGGGAAGAACAUAUGUGUAAGUAACUGUGCACAUCUGGACGGUACCUAAUCAGAAAGCCACGGCUAACUACGU
rnacentral:rRNA from 1 species